rnacentral:lncRNA from 1 species
UGAGAAAGAAUUUAUGAAUUUUUUUGAUGUAAUAAAUAUUUGUUUCUAAUUUUUUGAUUUGUUUGUGAUUUAACUAUAAAUUUUAUUUUUUGUUAUUAAUUCAAAUAGCAAGGGUUUAGUUAUGGAGCAAGAUUUGCACUCUUGUUCACCCCUUAUUAAUUAGCCAAUCAAGAUAAAUCAAAAUUCCAUGUCAUAUUAUAUUUAAAAAAUAAAUCAAAAAUAAAACAAACCUUAACCACAAUUUUAUCAACCCAAACCGAAAUAUAAUUUUGUUUAAUUACAAAAUCUAAACCCUAACCACUAU